GAGUUUGAUCUUGGCUCAGGACGAACGCUGGCGGCGUGCCUAAUACAUGCAAGUCGAGCGAACUGAUUAGAAGCUUGCUUCUAUGACGUUAGCGGCGGACGGGUGAGUAACACGUGGGCAACCUGCCUGUAAGACUGGGAUAACUUCGGGAAACCGAAGCUAAUACCGGAUAGGAUCUUCUCCUUCAUGGGAGAUGAUUGAAAGAUGGUUUCGGCUAUCACUUACAGAUGGGCCCGCGGUGCAUUAGCUAGUUGGUGAGGUAACGGCUCACCAAGGCAACGAUGCAUAGCCGACCUGAGAGGGUGAUCGGCCACACUGGGACUGAGACACGGCCCAGACUCCUACGGGAGGCAGCAGUAGGGAAUCUUCCGCAAUGGACGAAAGUCUGACGGAGCAACGCCGCGUGAGCGAUGAAGGCCUU
rnacentral:rRNA from 1 species